GUUGAGAAAUACAUCCAUUUAAAAAUAUAAAUAUACAAAUAUUUAUUUUAGUAAUUACAUAAGCUUUUAGAAGUUUCUGGAAAAUUAAUUGGCCUCUUAAUAUAUUAUCGAGCACUUAACGCUGGCAAAGCCUUGAGAUAUUCGAUGCACAAUUGAAUUGGAAAAGGCCCCGAAAACAAUAGAUAAUGGACAGUAGGAAGCGUUAAUUGAAACCGCAAGCGAUGCGACGAAGAGGCAAUGUUAAUAAUUGUAAUUGGCAGACGAAAUGCAAUUCGACUGGCAGCUGCAGCUGCAGCAGCUGCGACAAGUGCAGCGCACCAAGAGUAUAAGAGAGAGCGAGAGGGUGAGAGAGAUAGGAGAACAGGGCUGGCCACAAGAUUAGGAACUGUUAGAGCCAGUGCACAGGCAGAGGGAAAUCCAUUUGGCUGCCUCGAGACAUGGACAUGGAACGACAGCUCUUUAGGCGCCUGCAAAUGUGUAAAGGGUGGCUACAAUUACGUCUGUGUGUGUAAGCGUGUGUGUGUGACUGGCUGUGAUUGUGAUUGUGGGCGUUGUCAACGACCCACUUCCCAGGGCAACACAACAAGUGCGCCGAUUGGGCCACAUUAGACGAUAAGAGUCCAAAAACAACAAAAAAAAAAGUGAGAGAGAAAUAAACGCCAACCGUUAACAAUG